UACUAGUCGUUGGGUCCCUUGAGGACUUAGUGACGCAGCUAACGCAAUAAGUAGACCGCCUGGGGAGUACGGCCGCAAGGUUAAAACUCAAAUGAAUUGACGGGGGCCCGCACAAGCGGUGGAGCAUGUGGUUUAAUUCGAUGCAACGCGAAGAACCUUACCUGGUCUUGACAUACACAGAAUCUUGUAGAGAUACGAGAGUGCCUUCGGGAAUUGUGAUACAGGUGCUGCAUGGCUGUCGUCAGCUCGUGUCGUGAGAUGUUGGGUUAAGUCCAGCAACGAGCGCAACCCUUGUCCUUAGUUACCAGCACUUCGGGUGGGAACUCUAAGGAUACUGCCAGUGACAAACUGGAGGAAGGCGGGGACGACGUCAAGUCAUCAUGGCCCUUACGACCAGGGCUACACACGUGCUACAAUGGUAGGUACAGAGGGCAGCUACACAGCGAUGUGAUGCGAAUCUCAAAAAGCCUAUCGUAGUCCAGAUUGGAGUCUGCAACUCGACUCCAUGAAGUAGGAAUCGCUAGUAAUCGCGGAUCAGAAUGCCGCGGUGAAUACGUUCCCGGGCCUUGUACACACCGCCCGUCACACCAUGGACCGUGGAUUGCACCAGAAGUAGAUAGUCUAACCUUCGGGAGG
rnacentral:rRNA from 1 species